AUCCCUAAUAAACAAGCCCAGAGCAAUGACGUUAACGCUGGGGAAAGGUUGGAGCCUUGGAAGCUGAUCUGUUUGAGCAGAGUGUACAGGUGUGGAGUUGAGAGAGGUGAGGAGCAGGUACAGGUGAGGAGCAGGUACAGGUGAGGAGCAGGUACAGGUGAGGAGUUGAGAGAGGUGAGGAGCAGGUACAGGUGAGGAGCAGGUACAGGUGAGGAGUUGAGAGAGGUGAGGAGCAGGUACAGGUGAGGUGCAGGUACAGGUGAGGUGCAGGUACAGGUGAGGAGCUGAGAGAGCUGAUGAGCAGGUACAGGUGAGGAGCUGAGAGAGCUGAGGAGCAGGUACAGGUGAGGAGCUGAGGAGCAGGUACAGGUGAGGAGUUGAGAGAGGUGAGGAGCAGGUACAGGUGAGGAGCUGAGGAGCAGGUACAGGUGAGGAGCAGGUACAGGUGAGGAGCUGAGAGAGCUGAGGAGCAGGUACAGGUGAGGAGUUGAGAGAGGUGAGGAGCAGGUACAGGUGAGGAGCUGAGGAGCAGGUACAGGUGAGGAGCUGAGGAGCAGGUACAGGUGAGGAGU
ensembl:lncRNA